rnacentral:tRNA from 1 species
UUAAAAAUAAGCUAAAAUAAGCUAGUGAACUCAUACUUCAUUUAUAAAGAAAAUCUUUUUUUUAAA